rnacentral:rRNA from 1 species
GAUAAACGCUGACAGAAUGCUUAACACAUGCAAGUCGAUGAUGGGAGCUAGCUUGCUAGAAGAAGUCAUGGCGGACGGGUGAGUAACGUGUAAAGAACUUACCAUAUAGACUGGGAUAACAGAGGGAAACUUCUGAUAAUACUGGAUAAGUUAGUAGUAGCAUUACUAAGUAAUGAAAGGUAGCAAUACGCUAUAUGAGAGCUUUGCAUCCUAUUAGCUAGUUGGUGGGGUAAAAGCCUACCAAGGCGAUGAUAGGUAGCCGGCCUGAGAGGGUGGACAGCCACAAGGGGACUGAGAUGCGGCCCUUACUCCUACGGGAGGCAGCAGUGGGGAAUAUUGGACAAUGGAGGCAACUCUGAUCCAGCAAUUCUGUGUGUGUGAAGAAGGUUUUAGGACUGUAAAACACUUUUAGUAGGGAAGAAAGAAAUGACGGUACCUACAGAAGAAGCGACGGCUAAAUACGUG